AUGAAUUACCAUGAGCAGGAGGAUCAAGGGCUCGCCGUCGUCGCCACGAACAACGACGGCUUGGACUGGCUCGAGGACUCCGUCUCCUUGCUCGCCGGGGACAUCGACCUCGGCGGCAGCUACGGCUGGUGGUGUGACAUCUUGCCGGCGCAGAAAGAUGACAUUGGGAGCGUCGUCGCGCAGACGCUGUCGCCUCCAGCGCCACCCGCGACAAGCUCGCCCCUGGCCCACCCCUCGCCGAGCAUUGCGUCGCCCGCGGCGUCGGAGCCGUCGCCCAAGAAGCGCAAGUCUCCGGCGCGCGUGGUGUCCGGCUCCGGCCAUAGCAGCAGCAACAACCAGCGUCGCCGAACCGAGCAGGAUAGGCCGGGCGGCGGCAAGAAGGGCGGCGGAGCGGGGUCGGACCGGGACGCGAGGUGGGCGGAGCAGCUGCUGGGCCCGUGCGCCGUCGCCGUCGAGGCGCGCAACCUGUCGCGCGUGCAGCACCUCUUCUACGUGCUCGGCGAGCUCGCGGCCUUCUCCGGCGACGCCAACCACAGGCUGGCCGCGUACGGGCUGCGGGCGCUCUCGCUUCGCCUCCCUGCCGCGGUGGGCCCCGCGGCCGCCGCGGCCGUGAGGGUGCCGGCCGCCUGCGAGUCCCCGACGCCGUCGUUCGCCGGCGCGGAGCCACGGCUGUUCCGCGCGUCCCUCAUCAAGUUCCACGAGGUCAGCCCGUGGUUCACGCUCCCCAACACGCUGGCGAACGCCGCCAUCUCGCAGCUGGCCUCCGCGGCGCCCCGGCCGCUCCACCUCGUCGACAUUGGCGUCUCGCACGGGGUGCAGUGGCCGACCUUGCUGGAGUCGCUCACGCGCAUGGCCGCCGGACGAGCGCCGCCUUCCGUCCGGCUGACGGUCGUGGCCACCCCGCCGGUGCCCUUCUCGGCCUCGCCUCCCGGAUAUGACUUCGCGCCGCAUCUCCUCCGGUACGCCAAGUCCAUUAAGCUGGACCUCGAGAUCGGCCGCGCCGCUUCACUAGACCCCGCGCAUGGCUUGUGCACCACUCCCGACGAGGCGCUCGUGGUGUGCCUCCAGUUCCGGCUCGGCCAUGUCUCCGCCGAGGAGAGGGCGGACAUCAUCCGCAGGGUCAAAGACCUCAAGCCGCACCUGGUGGUCCUAUCAGAGCUCGACGUCGGGGGCAACGGCAGCGCGGCGGGCGAGUUCACGGCGAGGCUGGAGCUGCUGUGGCGGUUCUUGGAGUCCACGCACGCGGCGUUCAAGGGGAGGGACGGGGAGGACAGGCGGCUCCUGGAGGCCGAGGCGGGGACCGCCGUGGCGGUGGCCGCGGCCAGGGAGGCCAUGGGGCGGGAGGGCUGGCGGGACCGCAUGGCCGCGGCGGGGUUCGACCAGGUGGCGUUUGGGGGCGAGGCGGUGGAGUCGGCCAGGUCGCUGCUGAGGAAGUACGACAACGGGUGGGAGAUGUCCACGGCGGCGGCGGCCACGGGAGGCGGCGGCGCCGUGGCGCUGCGGUGGAAAGGGCAGCCGGUGUCCUUCUGCUCGCUGUGGCGGCCGGCGUAG
rnacentral:rRNA from 1 species